AGGGUGAACCGGGGCUUCCUGGCCUUCCUGGACUCCCGGGGAUAAAGGGUGAACCCGGUUUCAUUGGCCCUCAAGGGGAGCCAGGUUUGCCAGGCUUACCGGGAACAAAGGGUGAGCGAGGGGAGGCAGGGCCUCCUGGAAGAGGUGAGCGAGGGGAGCCUGGAACUCCUGGACCGAAGG